AAAGCGAAUAGUGAAAUCUGGCGGCUCAACCGUACAGGCUAUUAUUCGAACUCACUAACUCGAGAAUGGUAGAGGUAACUGGAAUUUCUAGUGUAGGAGUGAAAAUCCGUAGAUAUUAGAAGGAACACCAAUGGCGUAGGCAGGUUACUGGACCAUUUCUGACACUGAGGCACGAAAGCGUGGGGAGCGAACCGGAGUUAGAUAACCCGGGUAGUCCACGCCGUAAACGAUGGAUACUA
rnacentral:rRNA from 1 species